AUGGCCAGCUUCAGAUUCUGACCUGUCCCCAAAUGGUCAUUGACCCCAAAGCCUUCAUCACAAGAAGGCUGGUUCAUCGGGUCUUUGGAAUUUCAGAAUAAUUGAAGGUGAGAUAAAAUGGCUCUCCUGGCCUGAAUCUAGGUCCUGUUUGACAAACUCUGUGCUUUAUCUGCUGAGGGGAAUGGAAGCUAUCAGAGUGACUUCUAGCAUGUCGGUUUGGCACCUCACUAAAGUGCUAUUCGAAGCUCAGACUCAGCCUAGGAGGAAAAUGAAAUCAGCUAGCGGCUGCCAGAGGAAAAAAGCUGUCAUCUGCCAAGACUGCCGAAGUUAGGGGGGUCGCCUCACAAGUCACCUCCCCAUCCAUGCUGGUUAGUUGGCUUGACCUUGUGUAAGUCUUCACAGGUAACCACAGCUGCUGUGAGUUCCUGAGUGCAGCAGCCACGUGACGUCCACAGGAUGGCAUUGCACCGAGCUCCUCCACACCCUCCAGCUCUGCUGCCUUCCCCGCCUCCUCUCUGUGCUGUUCCCUGAGCCUUGGCACGGGUGGGAGGAUUGAUGAAAUGUUCCGUGUAGGCCUAAGCGCUCACAAGCGUUUAUUCUCAAGCACUUUGACCAAAACCUACCGAAUGCGAUGCCUGUAUGAAAUUCAAUAUUUUAUCCUUAGCUUAUUACUCUUUUUAGCUUUAUUUGAUAAUGUAUGUACAUACAUAGGGUCAUUAUGAGUAAUUCUGGGUUAGGAAGUCAUAAAUGUUAAAUCAAUCACAGAAAUAAUUAUAAGAUGCAAUGUAUUAAAUAGGUAUCAAUGUAUAAAUUACAGAUGUAUCAGAUACAUGUAAAGAAAUUCUCUUCUUAUUAAAUGACAAAGGGAAAAUUUG